UACGGAGGGUGCGAGCGUUGUCCGGAAUCAUUGGGCGUAAAGGGCGCGUAGGCGGCCUUGUAAGUCGGGAGUGAAAACUCGGGGCUCAACCCCGAGCCUGCUUCCGAAACUGCGAGUCUUGAGGACCGGAGAGGAAAGUGGAAUUCCUAGUGUAGCGGUGGAAUGCGUAGAUAUUAGGAAGAACACCAGUGGCGAAGGCGACUUUCUGGACGGUUCCUGACGCUGAGGCGCGAAAGCUAGAGGAGCAAACAGG
rnacentral:rRNA from 1 species